GAGACAGCAGUCGCCGCGGUAAUACGAAGGGGGCUAGCGUUGCUCGGAAUGACUGGGCGUAAAGGGCGCGUAGGCGGAUGGCACAGUCAGAUGUGAAAUUCCCGGGCUUAACCUGGGGGCUGCAUUUGAUACGUGUUGUCUAGAGUGAGGAAGAGGGUUGUGGAAUUCCCAGUGUAGAGGUGAAAUUCGUAGAUAUUGGGAAGAACACCGGUGGCGAAGGCGGCAACCUGGUCCUUGACUGACGCUGAGGCGCGAAAGCGUGGGGAGCAAACAGGAUUAGAUACCCCCGUAGUCCCUGUCUCUUAUAC
rnacentral:rRNA from 1 species